rnacentral:rRNA from 1 species
UGGGGAAUAUUGCACAAUGGGGAAAGGACCCUGAUGCAGCAACGCCGCGUGAAGGAAGACGGUUUUCGGAUUGUAAACUUCUGUUCUUAGUGAAGAAUAAUGACGGUAGCUAAGGAGCAAGCCACGGCUAACUACGUGCCAGCAGCCGCGGUAAUACGUAGGUGGCAAGCGUUGUCCGGAAUUACUGGGUGUAAAGGGAGCGCAGGCGGGAGACCAAGUCAGCUGUGAAAACUACGGGCUUAACCUGUAGACUGCAGUUGAAAACUGGUUUUUCCUUGAGUGAAGUAGAGGUUGGCGGAAUUCCGAGUGUAGCGGUGAAAUGCGUAGAUAUUCGGAGGAACACCGGUGGCGAAGGCGGCCAACUGGGCUUUAACUGACGCUGAGGCUCGAAAGUGUGGGGCAGCAAACAGGAUUAGAUACCCC